rnacentral:rRNA from 1 species
AGAGUUUGAUCCUGGCUCAGAGUGAACGCUGGCGGCGUGCUUAACACAUGCAAGUCGAACGCGAAAGUGUAGCAAUACAUGAGUAGAGUGGCGAACGGGUGAGUAAAGUGUGGGUAAUUUGCCUUCCAGAGGGGGAUAACCCGGCGAAAGCUGGGCUAAGACCGCGUAACAUUCAGUUGGUUAAGGCCGAUUGAAUCAAAACAUGGGGCUCCGCAAGGACCUAUGGCUGGGAGAUGAGCCCACAUCCUAUCACGCUUGUUGGUGGGGUAACGGCCUACCAAGGCGACGACGGGUAGCCGGCCUGAGAGGGUGUCCGGCCACACUGGAACUGAGACACGGUCCAGACUCCUACGGGAGGCAGCAGUGGGGAAUUUUUCGCAAUGGGCGCAAGCCUGACGAAGCAACGCCGCGUGGAGGAUGACGGCCCUCGCGGUCUUAAACUCCUGUCUAGCGGGACGAAAGAUUUGCGGUUAAAUAAACCGCAGAAGUGACUGUACCGCUGGAGGAAGCUCGGCCAACUUCGUGCCAGCAGCCGCGGUA